UUAACGCACCGGCCACCGCCCACCGCCAUCAGACGUUCAGUUAUCGUUCAAGAGGACGGACUGAUAUUCGCGCUCCUGCAGCUAACCAUAGCACAUCAGCAUGCCUACUGAAAGAGAGAUGGGCCAACAGGCCACCGAUAACCGGGCUGAACAGCUCAACGAGAACAACUCUAAGUACCAGGGAGGGACCAACAGACACACCGGCAAUGCCGAAUCCUUCGGGAAGGCGGCGGCCGACAACCGCUCAAAGCAGAUGAACACCGAAGGCAACGACCCCAAACAACAGGACAAGAAGUGAGCUCUGCCAGUCCUUCUUGACGCCGCGGCAGCACCAUGAGGCCGUGCGGUAGCCGCGGAACAUUCCCCAUUGCGCCCCCGCUGCGGCUGCGCUGCGCUCAUACCGUGCCCAUUGAAAAUGAUUUCAGUGAUCUCUCUGUAGACAUGUGCUCGCGCACGACGCCACACGCUGUGAUUCGUCUUCGUCAUAAUUAGUGAACAAUGCACUGAAACAGUAAAUGCCUGGUUUCUACUGUCAUGAGCAAAAUGAAAGCCAUAACUCGGGCCAGGACGGCGGAUGGCCCGAUCGUAACAGAUGAAGGCGGCAGAGGGGGGCGGGGGGAGGUCACAUCCGCUAUCUGCUCCUGGGCCCAAUCAGAUAAAGUGACGUAUUAUUUAUGACGUUUCGUAACAUCGUUUAACAGCUAACAUGAUUCAUGAUA